UACGAAGGGUGCAAGCGUUACUCGGAAUUACUGGGCGUAAAGCGUGCGUAGGUGGUUCGUUAAGUCUGAUGUGAAAGCCCUGGGCUCAACCUGGGAAUGGCGUUGGAUACUGGCGGGCUAGAGUGCGGUAGAGGGCAGUGGAAUUCCCGGUGUAGCAGUGAAAUGCGUAGAGAUCGGGAGGAACAUCUGUGGCGAAGGCGACUGCCUGGACCAGCACUGACACUGAGGCACGAAAGCGUGGGGAGCAAACAGG
rnacentral:rRNA from 1 species